GACGAACGCUGGCGGCGUGCCUAAUACAUGCAAGUAGAACGCUGAAGCUUGGUGCUUGCACCGAGCGGAUGAGUUGCGAACGGGUGAGUAACGCGUAGGUAACCUGCCUGGUAGCGGGGGAUAACUAUUGGAAACGAUAGCUAAUACCGCAUAAGAGUAGAUGUUGCAUGACAUUUGCUUAAAAGGUGCAAUUGCAUCACUACCAGAUGGACCUGCGUUGUAUUAGCUAGUUGGUGAGGUAACGGCUCACCAAGGCAACGAUACAUAGCCGACCUGAGAGGGUGAUCGGCCACACUGGGACUGAGACACGGCCCAGACUCCUACGGGAGGCAGCAGUAGGGAAUCUUCGGCAAUGGACGGAAGUCUGACCGAGCAACGCCGCGUGAGUGAAGAAGGUUGUCGGAUCGUAAAGCUCUGUUGUAAGAGAAGAACGAGUGUGAGAGUGGAAAGUUCACACUGUGACGGUAGCUUACCAGAAAGGGACGGCUAACUACGUG
rnacentral:rRNA from 1 species